GCGGGAGUAACUCAGUUGGUAGAGUUCGUGCCUUCCAAGCACGCAGUCGCGGGUUCGAGUCCCGUCUCCCGCUCCA
rnacentral:tRNA from 1 species